CGGCACAGGCUGCCUGACUCACAGACAGUGAGCGAUCAUGCGAAAGAUGACAGAGAGAAGUGCGAGAAUUACAGAGAAAGAAGUCAGAUAAGAGUGAGUAAUACAGCGGGAGAAGGCAGAUAAGACAGCGGGAGAAGAGUGAGAAAGACAGCGGGAGAAGAGUGAGAGACAGCGGGAGAAGAGUGAGAGACAGCGGGAGAAGAGUGAGAAAGACAGCGGGAGAAGAGUGAGAAAGACAGCGGAAGAAGAGUGUAAUACAGCAGGAGAAGAGUGAGAAAGACAGCGGGAGAAGAGUUAGAAAGACAGCGGGAGAAGAGUGAGUAAUGCAGCGGGAGAAGAGUGAGUAAUACAGCGGGGUAAGAGUGAGAAAGACAGCGGGAGAAGAGUGAGAAAGACAGCGGGAGAAGAGUGAGAAAGACAGCGGGAGAAGAGUGAGAAAGACAGCAGGAGAAGAGUCAGUAAGACAGUGGGAGAAGAGUCAGUAAUACAGCGGGAUAAGAGUGAGAAAGACAGCGGGAGAACAGUGAGAAAGACAGCGGGAGAACAGUGAGAAAUACAGCGAGACAGACCGAGUGAGCCGGAGACAAAAAAAUAAAUACACAUGGCGCUCUCUAAGAAGAGAAAAGUGGACCGCGAAAACAGCUUUCAACCCAGAAUGGACAGACUCAUUCAUGUUCAUUCUUCCCACUGGCAACACAAAAUCAGGUUGUCUCAUAUGCUCAGAGACAGUGGCACUCAUAAAAAGUGCCAACGUGAAACGUGAUAUGAGACAAAGCACAACGGUUUUCAACAAACGUACCCACUCAAGUCUGAACUGCGGUCACAGAAAAGAAGCAGUCUCAGAACCCAAUAUGAACAAUCCAACCGGAUCCUAACCGAUUCAUUCACUGCCCAACAACGUGCUAAUGAAUGUUCCCUCCGAGUAUUUUGGGUCAAGACAAAAAGCCAUUUACUGAUGGAGGGGUUGUCAAGUUAUGCAUGAGUGCAGUAGCUGAAACCUUACUUGAGGGGAAAGAGAAAGAAGAACUCUGUGACAAAAUAAAGCAAAUACCCAUGUCAGCAUCAUCAGCCACAAAGAAAAGUGAAAUGUUAACCCAGGACGUGCUAGCCCAGCUGGAUGAAGCCAUUCAUAAGAAUCUGUGCAACAAGAAAUCCUGUCAGCCAGGUACUUUGCCACAACUUCUGACCUGUGCUCAAGCCGUACUUCAGAGGCAUACAUUAGCUUGACCAUUAAUUUCAUAGACCAAGAAUGGAAUCUAAAAACAAGAUGCCUCGAAACAGCAUAUUUCCCUGACGAUCACACAGGAGAAAAUAUAGAAGAAGGCUUGAAGGAGGCACUGUUGACCUGGUCUCUAAUUGAAGACAAAAUGGUGUGCAUCACCACAGACAGUGGGGCAAAUGUAGUGAAGGCAACUUCACUGAACGACUGGACCCGGCUACAGUGUUCUGGCCAUCGUUUGCACUCUGCUAUUGGUGCCGCAGGAAAGGACAAAAGAGUGGACAGGGCUGUAGGUGUUUGCAAGAAAGUGGUCUCUGCCUUUUCUUACUCAUGGAAGAAAAAGAGUACGCUCUCCAAAGCACAGCAACGUUUCAAUCUUCCCACACACCAGCUUAUCACAGAGUCACUAACCAGGUGGGGCUCAAGACAAAAGAUGGUGGCAAGGGUCCUAGAGCAACAAAAGGCCAUCAUUGACUUUCUGUCGGCUGAUAUAAACAACACCUGAUCCCAACGUGGCAGGACAUUGAUAUCCUUGAGUCCAUGAACGCGGCCUUAACUCCUCUCCUGGAGUUCACAGACUCCCUUUUUUGGGGAGUCAUAUGUGACAGUGUCCUAUGUGAAGCCUGUGCUCCACCUGUUCCUUACCAAUUUGCUUAAAGUAAACGAGGAAGACACUCAGCUCACAAAAGAGAUGAAAAAAUAAUAAUGACCUAUCUUGAAGAGAAGUAUGCUGGCCCUGACACAGACGAUCUCCUUGAAAUGGCUACCUUGAUGGACCCCAGGUUUAAAGUCCAAUACAUUAGACCAGAAAAGGUAAGGGCCAUUCAAAUGAGAGCAGUGUCUGAGGGAGUCAAUGAAGGCCAGUCACAGGCAGGGGCUUCUGAGGGGCAGCAGACCAAGGUGCAGAAGGUGGAGCUGCGGCUGCGGCUGCCACUGACCACCUCUACCACUGGGCGUGAAGAAGCAACGCAAGUCAUUGGGGAGCUUCUUCAAAAAGCAGAGUCAAGAAGAAGAUGACUUGCCUCUCACUGAAGAACAAAAAGUGGAGAGUGAGCUAGAAAGGUACCUGAUGUGCCCUGAUGCAAACAGUGAGUCUGAACCCCUGGACUGGUGGAGGCUCCAUGGACACAACUUCCCAAGAUUGUCUCAGCUGGCAAAAAAGUACUGAUGCAUCCCAGCCACCUGUAGCCCCUCAGACAGAAUUUUUAGUACUGGGGGUAAUAUUGUUACAUGCACCAGGGCAGCUUUAAAACCAGAGAAGGUCAACCAGCUGAUGUUCCUAGCACAAAACCUUGAUUGAAAUAUACUUGAAUAGUUCAGAUGUUACGUAGGGUUUGAGAGACUUUGAUGUGGGAGGGGAGUGAAUUCCAAAGGGUGGGGGCAGCAAUUGAGAAGGCCCGAUCACCCCAAGUCCGUCGCUCAGUCCGUGGAACUUGUAGCAGGUUGGCAGAAUUGGACCUGAGGAAUCGGGAGGGGGCGUGGUGAUGGAGGAGGUCGGCAAGGUAGGGGGGGCUAGGCUGUUGAGGGCCUUCUAGGUGAUGAGUAAGAUUUUGUAGUUGAUUCUGUGUUUAAUUGGAAGCCAAUGGAGUUCACGGAGGACAGGUGUGAUGUGUUCUCUGGAGCGGGUACCAGUGAGGAUGCGUGCAGCUGAGUUCUGGACAUAUUGAAGUUUUUUGAGGACUUUGUUGGUGGUGCCGUAGAGAAGACCAUUGCAGUAGUCAAGCCUGGAUGAAUUGAAAGCGUGGAUGAGUGUCGCAGAAGCGGUAGUUGACAGGUUGGGGCGGAGGCGGAUCCAUUGCACGGGUUUCCGUGCAAUGUUACAUUUCUACAUUUUACAUUUCUUGCUUGGAUGCUUUUGCAUGUGCUAUGGGAUCAAUAUUCCGGAAAAUCUGCACCAAAUUUGCUGCUCAAGACCUAAUAACUUUUCCAGAUCACUGCCGGAACGGCUGUGAUGUGAAGAAAUCUGACCUCCGACAUAAAACACUUUCAUAUGGAGAGAGCGAACAAAUCACAAGCACCAAUGUUUAUUUUGUGAUUUGACAACAAUUUCAAUGCUGUAUUUUGUUUGCAAAAGAAAAAAUAAUUCAAGAAUUUGAGGACACUGGACCAAUUCCGAAAUAAGGGUCCUGCCUUCAGUCCAUCGGAUUUAAGGUCCUUUUAGAUCAAACGUGGUAAACAAUGGGGAAAAGCUGAUUAAAAACGGACAAAAUUGUCCCUCAAGAAUGAAAUCAAGUUGCUCGCCAGUUUCCUGAAACUUUAGCUAU
ensembl:lncRNA